AUCCAACUGACGAGUCACAAACAGGAUGAAACUCCCGUCCUGGAU
rnacentral:hammerhead_ribozyme from 1 species